AUAGGGUCAAGCGAACAAGUGCAUGUGGUGGAUGCCUUGGCGAUCACAGGCGAUGAAGGACGCGGUAGCCUGCGAAAAGCGGUGGGGAGCUGGCAAACGAGCUUUGAUCCACCGAUAUCCGAAUGGGGAAACCCGGCCCGUAUGGGUCAUCCGUAGCUGAAUACAUAGGCUACGUGAAGCGAACGCGGUGAACUGAAACAUCUAAGUAACCGCAGGAAAAGAAAUCAACCGAGAUUCCCAGAGUAGUGGCGAGCGAAAUGGGACCAGCCUGUACUCUUUAUCUUCAUUGUUAGUCGAAGGCUCUGGAAAGUGCCGCCAUAGCAGGUGAUAGCCCUGUAGACGAAAACAGCGAGGAAGAACUAGGUGUACGACAAGUAGGGCGGGACACGUGAAAUCCUGUCUGAAGAUGGGGGGACCAUCCUCCAAGGCUAAAUACUCGUGAUCGACCGAUAGUGAACCAGUACCGUGAGGGAAAGGCGAAAAGAACCCCGGGAGGGGAGUGAAACAGAUCCUGAAACCGCAUGCAUACAAACAGUCGGAGCCUCUGCGAAGGGGUGACGGCGUACCUUUUGUAUAAUGGGUCAGCGACUUACAUUCAGUGGCAAGCUUAACCGAUUAGGGCAGGCGUAGCGAAAGCGAGUCCGAACAGGGCGAUUCAGUCGCUGGGUGUAGACCCGAAACCAGGUGAUCUAUCCAUGGCCAGGAUGAAGGUGCGGUAACACGUACUGGAGGUCCGAACCCACUAACGUUGAAAAGUUAGGGGAUGAGCUGUGGAUAGGGGUGAAAGGCUAAACAAACCUGGAAAUAGCUGGUUCUCUCCGAAAACUAUUUAGGUAGUGCCUCGUGUAUCACCUUCGGGGGUAGAGCACUGUCAUGGUUGUGGGGUCCAUUGCGGAUUACUACGCCAUAGCAAACUCCGAAUACCGAAGAGUGCAAUCACGGGAGACAGACAUCGGGUGCUAACGUCCGGUGUCAAGAGGGAAACAACCCAGACCGCCAGCUAAGGUCCCCAAAUAUUGCUAAGUGGGAAACGAAGUGGGAAGGCUAAAACAGUCAGGAGGUUGGCUUAGAAGCAGCCAUCCUUUAAAGAAAGCGUAAUAGCUCACUGAUCGAGUCGUCCUGCGCGGAAGAUGUAACGGGGCUAAGCAAUAUACCGAAGCUGCGGAUGCACAUUUAUGUGCAUGGUAGGAGAGCGUUCCGUAAGCCUGCGAAGGUGCACUGGAAAGUGUGCUGGAGGUAUCGGAAGUGCGAAUGCUGACAUGAGUAGCGAUAAAGGGGGUGAAAAGCCCCCUCGCCGUAAGCCCAAGGUUUCCUACGCAACGUUCAUCGGCGUAGGGUGAGUCGGCCCCUAAGGCGAGGCAGAAAUGCGUAGCUGAUGGGAAGCAGGUUAAUAUUCCUGCACCAUUGUUAAAUGCGAUGGGGGACGGAUCGCGGAAGGUUGUCCGGGUGUUGGAAGUCCCGGUCCUUGCAUUGGAGAAGGCGCUUUGGCAAAUCCGGGCGCAGGAUUCAAGGGUGCGAGGCCAUUCACUUCGGUGAAGAAGCAAUCGGAAGUGGUUCCAAGAAAAGCCUCUAAGCUUCAGUUUAACAAGACCGUACCGCAAACCGACACAGGUGGGCGAGAUGAGUAUUCUAAGGCGCUUGAGAGAACUCGGGAGAAGGAACUCGGCAAAUUGGUACCGUAACUUCGGGAUAAGGUACGCCCCUGUAGCCUGAUGCGCCUGCGCGCAGAGGGUGAAGGGGUUGCAAUAAACUGGUGGCUGCGACUGUUUAAUAAAAAACACAGCACUCUGCAAACACGAAAGUGGACGUAUAGGGUGUGACGCCUGCCCGGUGCCGGAAGAUUAAAUGAUGGGGUGCAAGCUCUUGAUUGAAGUCCCGGUAAACGGCGGCCGUAACUAUAACGGUCCUAAGGUAGCGAAAUUCCUUGUCGGGUAAGUUCCGACCUGCACGAAUGGCGUAACGAUGGCCACACUGUCUCCUCCCGAGACUCAGCGAAGUUGAAGUGUUUGUGAUGAUGCAAUCUCCCCGGCGGCUUAGACGGAAAGACCCCAUGAACCUUUACUGUAGCUUUGCAUUGGACUUUGAACCGGUCUGUGUAGGAUAGGUGGGAGGCUUUGAAGCGUGGACGCCAGUCUGCGUGGAGCCGCCCUGAAAUACCACCCUGGUUUGUUUGAGGUUCUAAAACCUUGGUCGUAAUCCGGAUCGGGGACAGUGCAUGGUAGGCAGUUGACUGGGGGCGGGUCUCCUCCCAAAGUGUUAACGGAGGAGUACGAAGGUACGCUAGGUACGGUCGGAAAUCGUGCUGAUAGUGCAAUGGCAUAAGCGUGCUUAACUGCGAGACCGACAAGUCGAGCAGGUGCGAAAGCAGGUCAUAGUGAUCCGGUGGUUCUGUAUGGAAGGGCCAUCGCUCAA
rnacentral:rRNA from 1 species